ACUGAAAAAAAAAGAAGAAGUUGCAGAGAAGAAUAUACCAUUCAUGGUGGACUCAACUACUACUAAAAGACGUGUUCCAUUUUUUUUCUUUUCUUUUCUUUUUGACAAGUCUUGGGUUGAACGAACGCGCUCUUUAUAAAAACC
rnacentral:ribozyme from 15 species